GUGAAUCUAGAUAACGAUCAAUUCAAAUGUAAGUAUAAUUUAAAUUGAAUUUAUUAAAAAAAAGUUCUCCUAGAAUAAUAGGGACGGGUGCUUACAACGGGUGUUGUAGGUGGGAAGUUGGGGAGGCAGGAAUGUAGGAUACAAAAGGGAAUUUAAAAGAAAGAAAAAAUGAUUUUAAGCGGAGUUCAGUUGAUAGUGAUGCUUUGUAAACAAUCUAUACUAUUAUAUAAAAUUGUAAGGGGUUUUCUACGACCGCGCUAACCGAGANACCAAUCACGGGUGAAGCCGUGACGGGUCGGCUAGUAUAUAUAUAUAUAUAUAUAUAUAUAUGUCAUAUUAUGGUAAAAUAAUUAAAUAAGCAUUAUAUAUUUCCCUAAAUAAUAUUGCUCCGAUUUUCCAGUUUUUUUUAUAUUUUUCAUGGUUUUCCCAUGUUUUUCCCGGCUUUUCACAUUUGUUGAGAAAUCUGGAAAAAUCGAAAAAUGUCCUCUUUAAAGUACCUCCCCAUUCAGAUUUUCUUUUAGAAAUUGUUCUAAAAAAAAAAAAAAUUUUGUAAAAUCAUGAGCUUCUUUGCUCUACUCAGAAUCUAAAAUAAUAUUAAUGUAGAUAGUAGAUGUAAUAUAAAUGAUGUACCCGAUAGAUAACUUAACUUAAAAGUAUGAAAAAUAAAAAAAAUAAAGGCUUAAAUCGCUACCAAAAAUAUAGGUAUUUUUGAAAACCGGUAACUGCUUACCGUUAAUUUAUGAUAUGAUGGAUUAUGGGUAGAUGGGUACUGGUAACUGGUUAAUUAUAGAUAUCAAUGAUUUUAUGGUUAUACUUGUUAAAAACCGUUGGUAAUUUCUUCUGGUUGGCGGUUAUCGGUGAUAACUUGUUUUUAAACAAAUAAAUUGAUAGCUUACCUUGUUCCACUCGAAUAAUUUAAUGAUAAUUAUAAAUAAUAAACUAAUUUUAGAUUCUGAGUGUAGUAAACAAUAUAUUGGUUUUAUAUGUAUGUUUAUUAUACAUAUUUUUUUAUGUGAACUUUUUUAUACCAGCAAGCUUACUCUGAUGUAUACGAUGUAGACACUUUUCUGAAAAACAUUGAAAGAUAUUGUUGACAAAGCAUCAAUAUCAACUGAACUCCGCUUAGAAUCGUUUUUUCGUUAGCAAUGGUUUAUCAUUGCUUAUUGAUAAACAUUAAAUUUUUAUUCUGUAUCUUAUCUUCUCAACUUCCCACCUACAACAAUUGCUGCACCCACAUGCGAAGUAUGUCCGUCUUUUUUUUUCUAUGUUAGCACAACUAAUAGCAAAAUUAUUGUAUUGGGCCGAUAAAUUAUAAGCACAGUUUACAUUGUUAGGGAAUUCUGUGCCAAUCCUGUUCUCCGAUUGGCUCCACAUGUAUUUAUAUUAUAAUACAGAUUAUAUAUAUUUAUGGUUGACUCCGAUUCUCAUGAGAUGACAAUGUCUGUAGUUUCGUUAUCAGUGUUACACUAAUUUUUACACCAGCAAAUCACUUUCUGCGGAUUUCUAUCACGUUUCCAAAGACACUAUAAUGAACAAAAACAAAAUAUAGUUCAACCUCUGGGUUCCAGUGGUGGCCCCAAGGGAGGCCUACAUGAGUCAUGGCCAAGCUUUGAAAACCUUUGGCUCAUUUGUUGUACCGUCUGUCUAUAUUUUUGUAUAUUUAAUAUUUUAAGUAAUAUUUUAAAAUAUUAAAAAUGUAUACUGGUAUAUAAAAGUAUUUAGUACUUAUUGUAUUAUCUAAAAUAAAUACCACGUGUGAAAAAAGUGCUUUCAUUCUUGAUAAAAUAUAUAUGUGAGAUAAAUAAAAUAUAGAAAAGUAUUUUUUUAAAUAAAUACUAAAUAGGUUUUUCAAAGAUAUAAAUAUUAUACACUGCGUACAAUUGCAAUCACAGUUCUUGUGUUCUCAGUUGGAUGCGACCUUUUCUUGUUUAAAUCGAGUCAAAAAUAAAUUAUUAGACUCGCAUGUGACAUUUAAGAAAUUAAAUAAUUCAAUCUUAAUCAACUUAAUACUAAUGAUAUUAUUGAUAAAUUUACAUCUUUCAUCAAAAGCGACGAUUUGUUUUUAUUUAAUGGAACAAUUAAUAUUUAUGUAAUUAUGAUAGGUGUCCCGUGAUAGCCCAGGUUUGAUUAUUCUUAUCGUGCAAAGACAACAUAAUAUAUUGUAUUUCAAUGAUAACAAUUAUUAGUAAAAUAUACAAUUAAAUUGUUAUAAAUCNAAUGAUAUUAUUGAUAAAUUUACAUCUUUCAUCAAAAGCGACGAUUUGUUUUUAUUUAAUGAAACAAUUAAUAUUUAUGUAAUUAUGAUAGGUGUCCCAGGUUUGAUUAUUCUUAUCGUGCAAAGACAACAUAAUAUAUUGUAUUUCAAUGAUAACAAUUAUUAGUAAAAUAUACAAUUAAAUUGUUAUAAAUCGCAGAAUACUAAAAUUAUCUACAAAAUAUGUACCUAUAACAUACAAAAUAUACAAUUAUUUUUUUUUAGAUAAAAGUGCAUUCGACAGCUAUGUUAUAUUAUUCUCUGAAUUCAGUAAGUAAAAUCAACGCAAUAAUCAUUGAAUUCAUUAAUUUAAAUAAUAUUGUACAAAAACGUUUAUAAUUAGCUUUAUAGAGUUUUUUGAAAUAUAUAUAUAUAUAUAAUUGUACGUUUUUCAACAAAAUUCCUAUAUGCUUGUAUUUUGUUUAUUAAUAAAAAAUCAUUAAUUCAUUGUUUAUAACUUAAUGAUUUUCCUGUGUAUAAUUUAGUAAAAGAACAUGGUCAGGAGGAUUAUAUUAAAAAUUUUCAAGAUCCUGGUAAGAAGAAAAUAUUUUAGAUUAUUUGGAUUAAAAAAAAAAAAAUGCAUUUAAACAUAUUUAAUUUAAUGCAAUGGAGUUGUUUAACUAUUUAUUUUUAUUAAAUGUUAAAAUUUAUUUUUCAUGAUGUAAUAGUUUGGUAUUUUGGUUCUUUCUAUCAUACGAGUCUGCGUUACAUAAAUAAUUAUAUAUUUGUUAUUGUAUAUAAUAUAUAUAUACGUAUACACAUUUUAUUUUAUUUUUUUGUCAUUAUACUUCUGUUAUUUUUUUUUUAUAAACUAUGUGUUGAUAAAGUAUAUUUAAGAAAUAACUAAAAACAAUAGAUUGAUGAAUAGUCGCAUUGUUAUAUCAGGUAGCUCUAUAACGAUUUAAAGGAUUGCUAAAUAACGAUUUUAUAAAAAUGAAAUGUCAGAUGUUUCUAACGACUCUAUUUUUAAUUUUGUAGAAAAAAAUCCAUGUUCUACAAAAACCUGGAGUGGUAAGUUACCUAUAAGUACCGUUUAUGUGUGUCUAAUAAAUUCCUAGUGUGAUUAUGAAUGAUAGUUAGGCUAUUUUAGUUAUUUGUUUUCUUUGAUGAAGCAAAACUUAUGUGAUGUAUCACUGAGUGUUAUUAAAAAAUGUAGUCAAUAUAAUUUUGAAACUAUUUAUAGUUGACGGAAAGUGUUACUGUUUGUAUAUUCAAACAUUUUUCUUCCCAGGAUCACUUGGUAUGUUUAAAAAUAAUUAUUAAAAAUCAAAAAUAAAAUAGAGAUAAAUAUCUAUUAGUUAUCAUUUUAGAUUAAUAUAUGUUAUAAUAUAAUAUAAUAUUUUAUACAAAUAUACAAUAUAAAAAAAAAAAGAAACAAAAGUAAGAUGCAUAAAAUUAUUUAAUUUAUAUGUUUAAGCAACAAUAAACCAUUGAUAACAAAAAUGAAUUGGAGCGAAGUUAUAUAUAAUUUGAGAGGCCGUAAUAUUUAUGAUUUUCUUUAAAAUAUGAUAUCAAAACUCUUGUAGGAAUUUUUACGGAAUACCUAUCAAAUAAAAAUUAGGUAAUAAAAUCAAAAAUAUAAAAUUCCCAUAAAUAACUCAAAAAUCACCGCUUGGCCCAGAGAUCAGCAGCGUGUGGUUCCUAACCGGAAUAGUCGAACGAGGUACAGCGGUACUAGUCUUGCCCUCAGUGCUUCAUUUAUCCACCCCCACUGCGCAUAAUUGAAGGCGUUCGUUAUUUUUGCGUUUCGUAAAUUUACAUUCUGAAACAUUAAGUUCUGCUCUAGUGCCAUCCGGGGUUUUACAUUUCGGAUGUUUAAAUUCCGGAUUUUUAUCAAACUUGAUAAUAAAAUUUCGGAAAAUUUUGGCUUACCUUCAAGUACUUAAUGAUAUACUUUUUCAGAAAAAAUUGUCUUAUACUAUCAGUAAUUGCUUAAUGUAUAUCAUUAUUGAAAUUAAAUAUAAGUAUAGGUUUUUAAAUUUUGAAUAUUUACUAUCAUUCCGUUAUAAAUAUACAAACUGUACGUUGGAAUUUCUUUUUAAAUACUUACUGACCUUUCAUUGUGGUUAUAAUUAUUUAAAAGGUCUAGACUUUCGGUAAAAAUGUAACUUUUUGAUUUUUUUUUUUUUUAUAGUAUUAUUAAAUGCAGACAUAUGGUGUGAAAAAUAUGGAGGUAAUAAUAUUAUAUAAUAUAUACAAUAUAUACAUUGUAUAUUAUACAUUAUAAAUAAUUUUCACCAUAUCCCUUCUUUAGAAAUUAAAAUGACUAUUCAUAUAAAUUUAUUCACCUAAUAUGUUUAUGUGUUAGAUUUAAAUAUUUAAAAUAAAAUUUAUUACAAAGUGACUAAUUUGAACUUUUUGAAAAACUACCAAAUAAAACUUUUCUGUUUUGCUAGUAAUUAAUAGAUGAAAAAAAAGAUUUAAUUUUUCACUAAAUUUAUUUGUCCUUCACACAAAAUCUCUUUGAAAGAUUAGCAUCAGUGGAACACGGAAUCCUUUAUAUUUUAGUAAGAAAAAAAACUUGGAUUAUCUAUGGAAAACAAAUUGUUUAUUUAUUGUUUUUAGAUCAUAUUUUUAAUUCCUCAUUGUCGAGUUAGGUAUAACACAUAAAAAAAAUUCUAAAAUGUAUUUAUCAAUCAUAUAGUAUAUAAUUAUUAUUGACCAGUUUACUUAUUUCAUGUGGUAUAUUUAUUUGGUGUAAAAACAUACAUAAACUCUCAAGAUAACUAACUUACUAUUUUUUUAACUAAUUAAAAAUUAAUAACUAAAUGACUGCUGCCUCCCUGUCGCCUUUGCUCAGCUCUUCUUUUCCUCCUUCACUAGUUUAAUGUAUGUCUAGUAAUAAUAUUAUAAUGUUGGUAAUGCACCAUCUAUUAUUUUUUAUGUAUAUUGAAAUUGAAAUGACACCCGACUAUCAUGUUUUAUUAUUGUGCUUGGUUUUUUUUUAAUAAAUUAGAAACUCAUUUUGAAUUUUUUUGAUUUUUUCGUAGACGGAUUAUAUUCUCAAUUUUAUAUUUCUCUAAACCAGUCUUUAGUACUUAUUAUAAUAAUAAUUUGUAUUAAUAACAUAUUGAUUCUGAACAAUUAACAUAUUGUGUUUAAUCGUAACAGAAAUAUAACUAUAUGUAUAAAUAAUAUAAUUGAACUAUUUAUUAAUAGAUUGUCAUUUAAUUUUUUUAUAUAUAUCAAAAAAUAGAGAAAAUUAUUACAGACAACGAGGGUAAUAAUGUUAAUUAUUAAAAAUCAUUUUUUUUUAAGUAUUAAUAACUAUUACCAAUAUUAUUAUAAAAUUAUAAAUAAAUAUUUAAAAAAGUAACCGAAUAAUUACAAAAAAAUAAUCAAAUAAGGUUUUUCCUUUGUAUUCUUAGGUGGUUAAUAUAAUUUCCAUGUUUAUAAUAUUACAUACCAUGUUGCGCUUUGAAUCUAGCUUGUUAAAUAAAUGAAUAUAAAAAAAAAAAUAAAGUUUAUUUAUAGUAGACAAAAACGUCAGGUGUUUUAUAUGAUAAGAGAAUUUCACUGAGACUUAAAGGAAAGUUCUAAAAGUGUAGUCAGAUCGACUCUGUUGUAGCAGGGAUAAUAAAUCUUAGGUGGAUGAGGAGUGGUGUAACGAGAAAAGAUAUGAAAGGUAAAGAAGUAUUUUAAGCGUGGCUUCAAUAGACAAAAUGAGAGAAAAUAGACUGAGUUGGUUUGGACAUGUCAUGAGAGAAAUGACAAGAAGUAAGAAUAUAAUGUAAAAUAUAUUGAAGGAAAGAAGGUACAGGAAGACCGAAAAAGAGCUGGGUGGAUGUGAUUGAAAAUAAUAUGAGGACAACUGGUAUAUGCGAGUUGGGAGAUGGGGUCAAAUAAAAGUUUAAGACCAGGACAGCCAACCUUAAAUAGUUAGAGUGAAGGUGAACGAGAAGAAUAAAAUACUUUUUAAAAAUAUUCGAAAUACAAUACCGAAUAAUUAAAAAUAAUAAUGUUUUUUUAAUAUUAAAAAUACGUGGGUUAUAUCUAGACAUAUCUGUGUUGUUACAAUAAAUUAAAAUAUUAUGUAGAUAAACACUUUACAAUGAUUUAAAUUUAUAUAUAUAUAUAUACGAUGAAACCUUUCUUUACGGACACCUCUCUUGAUGAACAAAAUAAUAAGGUUCCAAAAGAUAGGCAUGUCAAAGUAUUUCGACCUGUCUAUAACGGACUCUUUCUAUUGUGGACAUGGACAAUAAUAUUUUUACCCAAUAUCUCGAUAACAGAUAAUUGUUUCCUAUUAUAAUUAUCUUAGUUCAAAAUCAAAUAUAUUGCAAACGUGCACAAACACUGCACAUACAUAUACAUACCACGUAAGAGAGUUCUUAUUUUGAAUACCGAUAAUAGUAUAUUAUAAUUAUUAUUUUUAUAUAUUCGAUAAUAAAGAUAACUUAAAUUGCCAGAACAGAAUUAACUAGACACAUGUAUAAAACGUAAAGCCUAUUCAGUGCUUAUUCCGUAAAGCUUCGCCGUUUUAAUGUUAUACAUUUUUCUUUGGUUUUACAACUAUGUUUCUUUUUUUCUUUUAGUGUGUGAACAACUUUUCUACUAACAAUUUUGCUCCAUUGUUUAUAUCUAGCACUGUUUCUGAAAGGAAAUCUGACUGGAAUGAUACUUUAGGGAAGUCCUUUUUCGAUUUUCUCAGCUGUUUUCAUAAUAACUGCAAAAAAACCAGGAAAAACGUAGGGAAAACGAAUAAAUUUACGGAAUGUUAUAUUUCCAACCGUAAAUAUUAUAUUUGAUUUCAAAACAUGUGUAACCGAACUCCGCUCAAAAUCGUUUUUCGUUGAUUAAUCCUUGAGUAGAGAUAUAUAUUAAAUUUCCUCUCUAUCUUCCCAACAAAUAAAAACAUAAUAUAUAGUUAAUACAUCUAGAUAUAGUAAGUGAUUAUAAUUUUUUAUUUCAAAUUUUAAACUUGUUUAUUUUGAAUUUUAGAUUGUUUAAGUAAGAGGACAUACAGUCAUCAGAAUUUAUACAAGUAUCUAAACAAUUUACUUAUCCAAUAAUUAAUAAAGAUGUUGGUUACGGUUUUCCAAAUGUUCUCCAAUUUUGUCAAAUUUAGAAUUUUUUUAAAUUUUAAUUCUCCCCUUUAAGUAAAUUUUUGACAAUUAUUCAAAGGUACAAUCAAUUUGUUUAUUAUUUCCAAUAAAAUAAUUGUAUAAGAUUCUAAGUGAAGCGAAGAAGCUUAUGGUUUUACAAAGAUAUUUAUUUUUUAUUAUUAUUUUUUUUCUGAGGAAAACUUUUCUUUUAUGAGUAUCGAGAGGUACAUUAAUAAAAACAGAGGAAAAACGAGAAAAACGAAGGAAAACUGGGAAAAUUAGUACAACAUUAAACAAAUAUUAUUAAAGAAAAUAUAUAAAGCCUAUUUAAUUAUUUUACCAUAAUAUGACAUGUAUAUUGUUGACAAAGCAUCACUAUCAACUGAACUCCAUUCAGAAUCGUUUUUUCGUAAGCAAUGGUUUAUCGUUACUUAUAGGUAUAUAUUAAAUUACCUAUAAUAAUGGCUGCACCCGUCCCUAUUAUCCUAGGACGUAUUUUUUAUCAUAUUCUCAAUAAACUGUAAUAAAUAACCAAUAAAAGCAUAAUCCGUUUUCAAAUUUAAACUCCGUCAAAUACAAUGCAUAGGUACAAUUUUGUCUGGACUUGAUCUAAAUCAACUAAAAUAUACAUAAUUUCCUUAAGUAAAUUUUUAUGAAAUCUAUAUUGUGUACCAUAAUAUAAUCUAGUUUUAAUACAUAAUUUUAUACGGUAUAGAUAAUGAAAAAAAUUGCAAUUGAUUUAUGAAUAAUUUAAUUAAUGAAAUACGAUCGAACGAUUAAUUUCGUUUUUGUUUAGUGGGGUUUUUUAUCCAAUUAAAACUAUUUUUAAAAUAAAUAUUGUUAUAUUAAUUUACUUACUUUUAAAUUUGUAUUUUUAUAUAUAUGUUAAAAAUGAAUAGCUGAAUUACAUAACGCUGGAUUCACGUGUAAGUUUCAGUUUUUUAUUAUAAUAUAUUAUGGGUAAACAUAAUAUUUUAUAAUAUUUUUUUUUCUAGUUACUAUAACUAUUUUUAGUUAAAAUUAUAUAUAACUAAUAUUAAUAUUUCAUAGAAAAUAUUGAAAAAAAAACUGAAAUUUGUGAAUUGAAUAAUAAUUAUGGUUCAAGACAUAUAUAUUAUAGAAAUUAUAUUUUUUUCAGUUGAUCGUGGUUUAGAAAACGCUGCAUUGGCUAUAUCAAAAAAUAGUAAAUACAAAAUACAUAUUAAAUAUCUACAUCUAAGUGCACGAUAGUGUGCUAGGCCUAUAGUUCGGCGUGUAUUGUAUAUAUUUACAUGGUUCAUUCUGAGCCUUUUUUACAUCCUAUAUCUCUGAGAUUAGUUAUGUUAUGGGUCUAAAUUUUUUCAGGGUUUUUAAGGAAUUUGUUAGGGUUACUAAAAAUAAGCAGUGCUCUAAAUUUCAUACGUCUAGGUUAAACAGUUUCCAAGAUACAAUUGUCAAAAAAUAAUAAUUUUUGGUACUCAUUAUCGGAUUGGCUGAUUAUCAUAAAUUUAGGGUUUUUCCAAUCGACCUAUGGUUUUGCAAUUUAAAACAUGGUGUUUAAGGUUUCAAUGACGGAAAAAAAUAUUAACAACCCAACUUUGAGGGGAGAUGGGAAAUCUGUGUCUAUAGAAUACUAUGACAGUAUGACACGUGGGUUGCGGCACUAUUAUAAACUUACCCACAUACGUUUGAUGGAGUGUUUUUUGUAUUUUUGUUUGGUAUUUACCAAAUCGAUGGUAACGACAAUGUGUUUGUAACGCAGCAUACUAAAAACCAAACAACAGUUGGAAAUUCAUAAUAAUUCCUAAUAAAAUAAAUAACACAUCUGAACACCCGCUAAUCCUUAUACCUUUUUUACAAUCUCUCGCUAUUAAAGGAUUUAAAUAAUUUUGGGUCAUGUACUAAUGAUAAGAACUAAACCUCAGUCCAUUUUUCAAAGUUUUUCACCGUUUAAGUCCGUUUCUAGUUAUCUCCAGCUGCAGCUGUAGCUAUUAAAGUCUCCAAUCACUAUUUUUACAGGGUUGUUAUUGAAAUUUGUUAGUUUUUCAUAAGCAAAAUCUAUAUUCGAUGGUUUGUGUAUUGAAAUAACCUUUUCGCCUUUAAUUUUUAUUGGAAUUAUUUCGAUAUUUUCUUUAUUUAAUUAUUCUGCAUUUUUUAUGAUCAAUUCAGAUUUGAAAACAUUGCACUUCCGUAUUUUUCACUAGGUAUCUCUUCAAUCUAUAUUAUUCCCGGUAUUUUUGACCAUGGCCUUAUCCCGGUGCGUUUCUUGUACGCAAAAAAUAUUACAGUCAUUCUCAGCGCAUAGGGUGACUAGAAGCUCCCAUUUAUAUAUUGAGAGCCCUCAAUAUUUUGCUAUAGUAUAGUUAAAGCAGAGGUAGGCCCUGAAAAAUACCGUUUUGGUGAUAUUGGCAUAUUUGGCACUGGUGUUGGUUAAAUUAGUUACUUAUCUGGUCCUGCAAUUAUAAAAACUAUACAGGGGCGCUGCGUGCAGGCUCUACCACGCCUCCAUUAAUUAGAAAAGAAUACACAUUAUUUCAGAUUUUCUCCCGUUAAAAUUUAAAAAUAAGAAAACGUGGGGAAUUAUUUCUUCAAAAAUGUUGAGUCAGAUAUUGACUUAAAAAAAAAAUCCCUGAUAUCCGAUAUUCCAAUAUUUGCAAUAUCAGCCGAUCAACUAUCAUUACAUUUUUAUUACAUAUUUUGAAUGUACGAUCAGAAAUUUGAAAUAAUUAUUAUAGAAUUUUGUUUUUCAGUUAAUCACAAAAGAAUCAGUGAGUUAUGUUUAAUGAUUUUAUAUGGAUGUUAUUUUUUAUAUGUAAUUAGGUAUGUCUCGAACAAAUGUGAUAGGUUAAUUUAGGUACAAGGUUAUUAAAUUAUAUAAAAUAUAUUAUUAUUAUGCUUGUAGGAUAAGUAAUGUGUUAUAUAAAAACACUGUAACUUCACUAAUGAGUAUAAAUAAUGAAUAAAAUAAAGUUAAAUCACAAUAUAUGUAUUAUUAUCAAAAGAGAGUAUAAUUUGCAUAAAAUUCACUGAUUUUAUUAUAAUGAUACGUAACAAAAGACAGAGAAAGAAUAAUCUGCAUUAGAAUAUGUAUCGUUCAUAAACGAAAGAGUUCAAUGUAAUAAAUUGCUACUUCACACAUAUUCCCCCUCCCCACAAAUGAAUCAAAUUACACAAGUAGCACUAUCAUUUUACAUCAUAAUAUUAUACUUAUUAAUAAAUUACCAAUGACAAUUUUAAAAAAUGCUUCAAGUAAAAUACCGCCAAGUAAAAAUUUCGCAUCUUUCAAUAGGUACCGCAUAUAAUUUUAAGCCAAUUAUAUUAGUACAAUUCAAUCCAUCGUUAAAAGCUAACAGCAGCCUGAGUACCUUUCACUUCCAACACUCUUAGUCAACACUCUUGUAUUGACAUGGGAAUCAUGCGACUGUGGCUCAAAGUUACCUUUUUUUCUUUUUUCAUAUCCCGAUUGCGGCCCAUACAAAGUAGGUAGGAAAUACCGUUUUCCGUGAUUAUUAAAACUAAAUAAUAGUAUUCCGAUUACGUCCAACGUAUUUUCAUGUAAAUAUAAUACAGCGUAUUGGAUUCGCGGUAGUAAUUGAACUCGAUAAUUACAUAUACUCUUUACCUGAUCCUCAGUUACCCUACUUCAAUUUAUCAAGUCCUCAACGAAAACAACACCAUUUGUCCCUUUUUUCGUAAAAUUAAUACAUUUAAAAAAUUGUAACACAUCAAUACCUUAUGUACAGAUUUUUAAACUUUAUCUACCUUAACUGUUACAUGUUAUAUUUAUUUGUUUAAUUUACGUAGACUAAUUACCAUUUUUGUUAAAACCUUUACUUCUAUUAAAAAAAAUAAAAAAAAAUAUGUCUAUGAUAUGUUUAAAUAAAUUAAAUUAUAAUGUAAAUAUUGUAAAACAAUUAUAUUGUAAAUAUUAUGUAUUAGUAAAUUUAUGACAUUUCAUUUUUACUUUCCCUAUUUUAUAUUCUAAGUGUAGCGAAGAAUGUAUUAGUUUUAUAAAGAUAUUUAUUUUAUUUUUUUUUUUAUGUGAACAAUUUUUCCACUAGAAAGCUUAUUUGAUGAAUACGAUAUAGUUAAUAGACCUUUUUCUGAAAGAAAAUUUUCUUGGGGCGAUACUAUAUAAGGAGGUCAUUUUUCGAUUUUCUUAGGAGUUUUUUCAUCAAAUGUGAAAAACCUAGAAAAACGGAAGAAAAACGAGAAAUUCGGUAGACGUUACAAUAUUUAACAGAUAUUUUUAAAGAAAAUAUAUAAUACCAAUUUAUUUAUUUUUUACCAUAAUAUGACAUAAAUAUUGUUGACAAAACGUCACUAUCAAAUGAUCUCCGCUCAGAAUCGUUUUUUCAUUAGCAAUGAUUUAUCGUUACUUACAGAUAUACAUCUUUAUACAUUCCUUUCUGUAUCUUACCUUCCCAACUUUUAACCUACACCCAUUUUCGAAGUAUAGGUAUCUGUAUUUAUAUUUUAUAUGAUUGAAUUCUAUUUUGUGAACCAAUACGUGUUUGAACAUAAUCCUGAUAUUUUUAUUUUGGGUUAAAAAGGUUUACCUGAAUUCGGGCCGCAAUCGGACAUCUCCGGUUGACGCACUACGAAUGUUAUAUUACAACGGAUACGUAUGGCUUUUCGAAUUUUCCUUCCGAUUGACGCUAUUUACUGAUUUAAUAUAAAAUACCAAAAUAUCAAUUGUCAGAAAUGGCGACCAAUAUUUAAAAAAAUAGUUAAUAAACGAACACUCCAUUAUUUUUUUUAUUUUCAGUAUUAGUCAAAGCAUACGUCAAAUAUUUGUUGGACUCUGUGGAAAAUAGUAUGCAUUUGCUAUUUAGUAUACUAUAAAGAUGUAAAUAAUAUAAAAUGAUAACAAAUAUUAGGAACAAAUGGAACAAAUGAACAACAUUGAUGGAUUUAAAUCUAAAGAAUAAUAACAUGAUAUGAUAAUAUAUGAUAUUUAUUAUUUUAGUUGAUGGAAGCUUGGUGGGGCCACGGAUUUGGUGU